CCUACGGGAGGCAGCAGUGAGGAAUAUUGGUCAAUGGACGAGAGUCUGAACCAGCCAAGUAGCGUGAAAGAUGACUGCCCUAUGGGUUGUAAACUUCUUUUAUAAAGGAAUAAAACGAGGCACGUGUGCCUUUUUGCAUGUACUUUAUGAAUAAGAAUCGGCUAACUCCGUGCCAGCAGCCGCGGUAAUACGGAGGAUCCGAGCGUUAUCCGGAUUUAUUGGGUUUAAAGGGAGCGUAGAUGGGUUGUUAAGUCAGUUGUGAAAGUUUGCGGCUCAACCGUAAAAUUGCAAUUGAUACUGGCAGUCGUGAGUACAGUUGAGGUAGGCGGAAUUCGUGGUGUAGCGGUGAAAUGCUUAGAUAUCACGAAGAACCCCGAUUGCGAAGGCAGCUUACUAAACUGUGACUGACAUUGAUGCUCGAAAGUGUGGGUAUCAAACAGGAUUAGAUACCCCAGUAGUC
rnacentral:rRNA from 1 species